CCUGUAGUCCCAGCUACUCGGGAGGCUGAGGUGAAGAUCCGCGACUGGUACCAGAAGCAGGGGCCCGGGCCCUCCCGUGACUACAGCCACUCUACAAGACUAUCCAGGACCUGCGGUACAAGAUUCUUGGUGCCACCAUUGAGAACUCCAGGAUUGUCCUGGAGAUCGACAACGCCCGUCUGGCUGCAGAUGACUUCCGAA
rnacentral:lncRNA from 1 species